rnacentral:rRNA from 1 species
GUAACCAUUUAUGGAGCUAGCCGUCGAAGGUGGGACAAAUGAUUGGGGUGAAGUCGUAACAAGGUAGCCGUAUCGGAAGGUGCGGCUGGAUCACCUCCUUU